rnacentral:rRNA from 1 species
GACGAACCGAGCGAACGUUGUUCGGAAUCACUGGGCUUAAAGGGCGCGUAGGCGGGUACUCAAGUCUGUGGUGAAAUCCUCCGGCUCAACCGGAGAACUGCCAUGGAUACUGGGUGUCUCGAGGGUGGUAGGGGUAUGCGGAACUAUCGGUGGAGCGGUGAGAUGCGUUGAUAUCGAUAGGAACUCCGGUGGCGAAGGCGGCAUCCUGGACCGACAUUGACGCUGAAAACCGAAAGCUAGGGGAGCAAACGGG